GUCAAACUUUAGUAGAAAGAAAUGGAUAGCAGAUAAACACACCAGCAACAUUACGAGUGGUGAAAUACAGAAAUAAACACCUCUGCCUGUGUGUUUUAAAUGUCAAAUACUGCUGCUAAACAGGGAUUAGAGACCCCUUUAUACAGUGCUCAUUUUAUUCUGCGGAGUACUAAAACUAUUUGAGUUAAAACUUAAACAACAUGGCGGUAACUCCAACUUAGGGGAACUUACCUUGUAAAUGAUAACCACCAAGGUCAAUUAACUGUAAAAAAAUCUUGUAUGCCGUCGUCGUCAGGUAGCACUUAAUGUACCACCAAGAUAUCUCUUAAAAAGACAGAUCAAGGUGCAGACGAUUUUGCAGUAUCGGCGAGUUACAAUUAUUACUAUCAACGGACAGCCUACGUAAUUAGCAGUGAAGAUGGACUUAACAGUAAUUAAGACUACUUAUCAGUUUAUG
rnacentral:rRNA from 1 species